CUCCUCUCCCGGACAAGGUCUCAAAAGAGACGCCGCCGCCGAUCUGGGGAUACGCCGUCGCAGAUCACCAAGACGCGGCUGUCGCGGACCACCAGGACGUCAGCAGCGGCGGCGCCUCAGAUACGUCAUGGACCAGGACGCGGCCGUCGCCGAUCAGGAACAGGACACUGCUGUCGCGGAUCCCAGGACUGCCGGCGACGCCGCCUCAGAUACCCACACCAACCGCCAGCCGCUGCCCACCACAUCGACCAGCUCCAAGAUGGUGGUAUGCGGUUUUCUUGGCAGCGGCGUCGGGAUCAGGCUCCAGUUCCCCCUACCCCACAUUGUUGUUGUUGUUGCUGCUGCUCCAGUUCCAAUUCCAGCGAGUGCCAGCGAUGGGGAUGCUCGGAUCGCAGUCCCUGCUCUCAUUUUCCUCCAGCCUCUGGUAACCCUCCUCCUCACCCGCUUCGCCUAAGCGGGAUUCAUAGGGAGCAUCAGCUACGUCUUAUGUGGGGAUGAACCGAGUGAUAGGAAAAUAUUUUUUUGAAUGCAAUGGGAAGGCGAAAAACGACACGCCUUGGUGAAGCAACUCUGAGAUUCGGAAACAAGGACUCCUAUUUGUCUGUAGAGCAUGUGGAGCUGUUGGGCAAGCAGAGUUCUAUCUGGGUAUUCAGGUAGCUGAGGAUAACAGGGAAAAGGAAAAUCUCCAGGCUAUCAUGCAUACCAUGCACCUCUAAGGCUCGUGCUGUGAGGUCAGUUCAAUUUUAAUCUCUGGUAAUUUAGUGUAUUCUCAGACCAGUCAACCAUUUAUAGUUUUUCUAACUCACCUUUGUAAAUAUUUGGCACCACAACACUACGUAGUUUCUAUGUUUUAGCUUUGAGUUGUCAAUUUUGUAACUUUGCAGUAUUUCCUUUGAUUUUGGCGUGUAUAAACUCAUUUUUAA